UACGGAGGAUGCAAGCGUUAUCCGGAAUUAUUGGGCGUAAAGCGUCCGCAGGUGGUUUAUCAAGUCUGCUGUCAAAGCGCGAGGCUUAACUUCGUAAAGGCAGUGGAAACUGAUAGACUGGAGUGCGGUAGGGGCAGAGGGAAUUCCCAGUGUAGCGGUGAAAUGCGUAGAUAUUGGGAGGAACACCGGUGGCGAAGGCGGGUCUCUGGGCCGAUACUGACGCUGAGGAGCGAAAGCGUGGGGAGCGAACAGG
rnacentral:rRNA from 1 species